ACGGAAGGCAGCAGUGGGGAAUAUUGCACAAUGGGGGAAACCCUGAUGCAGCGACGCCGCGUGAGUGAAGAAGUAUUUCGGUAUGUAAAGCUCUAUCAGUAGGGAAGAAAAUGACGGUACCUAACUAAGAAGCCCCGGCUAACUACGUGCCAGCAGCCGCGGUAAUACGUAGGGGGCAAGCGUUAUCCGGAUUUACUGGGUGUAAAGGGAGCGCAGACGGCAAAGCAAGUCUGAUGUGAAAUGCGGGGGCUCAACCCCUGAACUGCAUUGGAAACUGUUUAGCUAGAGUGCAGGAGAGGUAAGUGGAAUUCCUAGUGUAGCGGUGAAAUGCGUAGAUAUUAGGAGGAACACCGGUGGCGAAGGCGGCUUACUGGACGAUAACUGACGUUGAGGCUCGAAAGCGUGGGGAGCAAACAGGAUUAGAUACCCUGGUA
rnacentral:rRNA from 1 species